rnacentral:rRNA from 1 species
CAGGUGCUGCAUGGCUGUCGUCAGCUCGUGUUGUGAAAUGUUGGGUUAAGUCCCGCAACGAGCGCAACCCUUAUCCUUGUUGCCAGCGGUCCGGCCGGGAACUCAAAGGAGACUGCCAGUGAUAAACUGGAGGAAGGUGGGGAUGACGUCAAGUCAUCAUGGCCCUUACGACCAGGGCUACACACGUGCUACAAUGGCGCAUACAAAGAGAAGCGACCUCGCGAGAGCAAGCGGACCUCAUAAAGUGCGUCGUAGUCCGGAUUGGAGUCUGCAACUCGACUCCAUGAAGUCGGAAUCGCUAGUAAUCGUGGAUCAGAAUGCCACGGUGAAUACGUUCCCGGGCCUU